GACGAAGGGGGCUAGCGUUGUUCGGAAUUACUGGGCGUAAAGCGCGUGUAGGUGGUUGUCCAAGUUGGAUGUGAAAGCCUUGAGCUCAACUCAAGAAAUGCAUUCAGGACUGGGUGACUAGAGGACCGGAGAGGAUAGUGGAAUUCCCAGUGUAGUGGUGAAAUACGUAGAGAUUGGGAAGAACACCAGUGGCGAAGGCGGCUAUCUGGACGGUUUCUGACACUAAGACUCGAAAGCGUGGGGAGCAAACAGG
rnacentral:rRNA from 1 species